AACGAACGCUGGCGGCAUGCCUAACACAUGCAAGUCGAACGAGACCUUCGGGUCUAGUGGCGCACGGGUGCGUAACGCGUGGGAACCUGCCCUUAGGUUCGGAAUAACUCCCCGAAAGGGGUGCUAAUACCGGAUAAUGUCUUCGGACCAAAGAUUUAUCGCCUUUGGAUGGGCCCGCGUUGGAUUAGCUAGUUGGUAGGGUAAAAGCCUACCAAGGCGACGAUCCAUAGCUGGUCUGAGAGGAUGAUCAGCCACACUGGGACUGAGACACGGCCCAGACUCCUACGGGAGGCAGCAGUGGGGAAUAUUUGACCUUGGGCGAAAGGCUGAUCCAGCCAUGCCGCGGUAGUGAUGAAGGGCUUAGGGUUGGAAAGCUCUUUUACCCGGGAUGAUAAUGACAGUACCGGGAGAAUAAGCUCCGGCUAACUCCGUG
rnacentral:rRNA from 1 species